rnacentral:rRNA from 1 species
AUUGCACGCUGGCGGCAGGCCUAACACAUGCAAGUCGAACGAGUGGCGGACGGGUGAGUAAUGUCUGGGAAACUGCCUGAUGGAGGGGGAUAACUACUGGAAACGGUAGCUAAUACCGCAUACCAUCAGAUGUGCCCAGAUGGGAUUAGCUAGUUGGGGGGGUAACGGCUCACCAAGGCGACGAUCCCUAGCUGGUCUGAGAGGAUGACCAGCCAACAUGGAACUGGGACACGGUCCAGACUCCUACGGGAGGAAGCGGUGGGGAAUAAUGCACAAGGGGCGCGAGCGUGAUGCAGCCAUGCCGCGUGUAUUAAGAAGGCCUUCGGGUUGUAAAGUACUUUCAGCGGGGAUGCGUUACCCGCAGAAGAAGCACCGGCUAACUCCGGGUCAGCAGCCGCGGUAAUUC